rnacentral:rRNA from 1 species
AACGAACGCUGGCGGCAUGCCUAACACAUGCAAGUCGAACGAGAUCUUCGGGUCUAGUGGCGCACGGGUGCGUAACGCGUGGGAAUCUGCCCUUUGGUUCGGAAUAACAGUUGGAAACGACUGCUAAUACCGGAUGAUGACGAAAGUCCAAAGAUUUAUCGCCAGAGGAUGGGCCCGCGUAGGAUUAGCUAGUUGGUGUGGUAAAGGCGCACCAAGGCGACGAUCCUUAACUGGUCUGAGGGGAUGAUCAGCCACACUGGGACUGAGACACGGCCCCGCCCCCUACGGGAGGCAGUAGUGGGGAAUAUUGGACAAUGGGCGAAGGCCUGAUCCAGCAAUGCCACAGGAGUGAUGAAGGCCUUAGGGUUGUAAAGCUCUUUUACCCGGGAUGAUAAUGACAGUACCGGGAGAAUAAGCUCCGGCUAACUCCGUGCCAGCAGCCGCCGUAA